rnacentral:misc_RNA from 1 species
CAUGCUGGGACACAACAAACGACCGACUGUAACCGCUCCAAAGGUGCCUUCGGGCUCGCGAUCUGUUUCAUCUGACGCAGAGAAUCGCCCGGACAAACCAUCCUUGGGGAAAAACCCACACAAGACAGAAAAAGAAACUUGUGGUGAAGUGUUCGCUACAAGCACCAACACCGAUACUCAGAUGAGCCAGGCCAAGCAAUAAGACCAAAGUCGAAGGGGCGGUGCAAGGCUGUGUGACCCCCAGAUACUCCCCCAUAGCCUCCACAGAGUAUCAAUACUGUACUCUUCUACUUGCACUAGCGACUAUCAAACCAUCGAUUUAUUAAUAUAUAUGCCUUGUCUGUA